AUACGGAGGAUCCGAGCGUUAUCCGGAUUUAUUGGGUUUAAAGGGUGCGCAGGCGGUCAUUUAAGUCAGCGGUUAAAUCGUGGGGCUCAACCCCAUUCUGCCGUUGAUACUGGGUGGCUUGAUUGCGGUCGAGGUUGGCGGAAUUCGUUGUGUAGCGGUGAAAUGCUUAGAUAUCACGAAGAACUCCGAUUGCGAAGGCAGCCUGCUGGACUGUAACUGACGCUGAUGCUCGAAAGUGUGGGUAUCAAACAGGAUUAGAUACCCUGGUAGUCCACACAGUAAACGAUGAAUACUCGCUGUUUGCGAUAUACAGUAAGCGGCCAAGCGAAAGCGUUAAGUAUUCCACCUGGGGAGUACGCCGGCAACGGUGAAACUCAAAGGAAUUGACGGGG
rnacentral:rRNA from 1 species